GGACUAGUUCUCUUUUUUCCGUCAAGCCCAGCUGGUCCCCUUCCCUCUGUGAGCGGUUUGGGGAGGUUGGCCUUAUUACUAAAAGGUUGGCCUCUCAGCUCUCCUGGGGCCUCGUUGGCCAUCAGUGGCCUGUCCUCUGGGCUCAGGGUGGGGUUGCUCUGAGGCACCCCCCGUGGCAGUGAGGCCUGGCCUUGCCCCAUCCCACCCCACUUUCACUUUCCCUUCGUUUCCCUCCCCCCCGCCAGCUGGGGCAGUUUGCAGGGUUUCCCUCUUCCUGCCCCAUCCUGGCAGCUGUGGCUUCAGUGUUAGAUGCUAAAGGGAACAUCCAUGCUUCCCCCCCACCUCCAGGGCCGACGCCAAGGUAAAAGGAGUUUACGUGGCCGCAGAACGCCAGAGGUGUUAGGUCCCGCAUCUCAGCGGAUUUCCCUGCAGCCCGGGAAGCACGCAGGCCUGUGAGCCGCUGUCAAGCGCCAAGCCACGGGGCUGCCUGAACCCUGGGCUACCCAGCCUCGGUGGCGCGGCCUUCUGUGCUUGUAAGUGGGGUGCUGCUGGAGGCCACCUCAUAGGUUUGUUAAGGCUGGAGAAGCGACUGACGGGAUCGGCACAACCCUGGCCUGUGGCAGGUGCUGGGUGAGCAUCGUUCCCGCGAUCCCAUUUUACAGGAGAGGGAGACUGAGGCUCGGAGAGAGGAAGCGAUUGGCCCCAGGGCACACAGCCAGUUGGUGGCACGACGGAGGUUCGAUCUCUGUGACACGGUCUCCCUGCUUCCAGGAGCCUGAUGAUCUGGGGUGAAGAGGGUCCCCUCCUCCUCCCUCCUCCCCAGAUGCCCAUACCCCUUAUCUUUUGGGCAAGACAAACAGGGACCUGGAAGAGAGGAUCAAAAAGAAGUUGAGGAGGAAGGAGAGUCCUGCUUGCAGACCUUCUGCUGUGCACCAGACCAUCGGAUCUGGGCUCCGCAAACUCGGAAAGAGCUGGCUAGUAACGGUCUGAGUCUUUGGGGGUCGUGUGGCCCCUGUUUCGACCGCUGACUUCCCCGGUUUGCAGCCCAGGGCCAGCCGCAGGAAUACAUAAGUAAAAGGGCGGGGCUGUGUUCCAAUAAACUUGAUGUCUGGACUCUGAAAUUUGAAUUUCAUAUAAAUUUCGUGUAUUGUGAAGUAGUACUCUUCGUUUUAUUUUUUACAGCCAUUUAGAACUGUAAAAAACAAAACAAAACAAAACAACAAAAUACUUUUCAGCCAGACAAAAACAAGCUGGCAGGCCAGGUACCUGAGGGCAGUAACUUGCUGACCCCAGACACAGAGGUUAGAGCCAAUUCCUCCUCCC
rnacentral:lncRNA from 1 species